GACGAACGCUGGCGGCGUGCUUAACACAUGCAAGUCGAACGGAAAGGCCCUGCUUUUGUGGGGUUCUCGAGUGGCGAACGGGUGAGUAACACGUGAGUAACCUGCCCUUGACUUUGGGAUAACUUCAGGAAACUGGGGCUAAUACCGGAUAGGAGCUCCUGCUGCAUGGUGGGGGUUGGAAAGUUUCGGCGGUUGGGGCUGGACUCGCGGCUUAUCAGCUUGUUGGUGGGGUAGUGGCUUACCAAGGCUUUGACGGGUAGCCCGCCUGAGAGGGUGAACAGCGACCAUGGGACUGAGGGACGGCGCAGACGCCAACGGUAGGCAACAGGGGGGAAUAUUGCAGAAUGGGCGGAAGCCUGAUGCAGCAACGCCGCGAGCGGGAUGACGGCCUACGGGUUGUAAACCGCUUUCGACGGUGAUGAAGCGUGCGUGACGGUAAUUGGUAAAGAAGCACCGGCUAACUACGUG
rnacentral:rRNA from 1 species